rnacentral:rRNA from 1 species
AGUGAACGCUGGCGGUAGGCCUAACACAUGCAAGUCGAACGGCAGCACAGUAAGAGCUUGCUCUUACGGGUGGCGAGUGGCGGACGGGUGAGGAAUACAUCGGCAUCUACUUUUUCGUGGGGGAUAACGUAGGGAAACUUACGCUAAUACCGCAUACGACCUACGGGUGAAAGCAGGGGAUCUUCGCACCUUGCGCGAUUGAAUGAGCCGAUUUCGGAUUAGCUAGUUGGCGGGGUAAAGGCCCCCCAAGGCGACGAUCCGUAUCUGGUCUGAGAGGAUGAUCAGCCACACUGGAACGGAGACACGGUCCAGACUCCAACGGGAGGCAGCAGUGGGGAAUAUUGGAGAAUGGGCGCAAGCCUAAUCCAGCCAUACCGCGUGGGUGAAGAAGGCCUUCGGGUUGUAAAGCCCUUUUGUUGGGAAAGAAAAGCAGCAGGUUAAUACCCCGCUGUUCUGACGGUACCCAAAGAAUAAGCACCGGCUAACUUCGUG